UAACUUUGUGGUUGAUAUUAUGGCAUAAAUUACUGUCAGAGGGGAUAUAUAGUUGCAUAGGUAAGGUUUUUCCAAAGGUGAUUAUUUCUGUUCCGACCUUUAAUCAUCCAAAACGUCUCUUCUACUCCAAAUAAAAGCUAGCCCUUCAUUUUGCUGCUUUCUCAAAGGUUUUCACAAACAAUCUCUGUCAUUCAUUAUGAUCUGGCCUGAACUGGAUAACAUGUUUUGUAACGGCAUGAAAGGAACAGAAAAAUCUCUCAACAGAUGAGGAAUUUACGCGUUAACAACUACAACAACAACACUCUGGCUGAAAUCCCAGGGUAUAAAUAAGACACGCGCCACUGAUUUUCAAAUUGCAUUAAAUUGAAAGUAUAAUCUCAUACUAACUGGACCAAAAUAGCAUAUAGUGUUGUCUGACUGCACAGCUUCUCCACAGCCCUGUAAACAAUGUACCUGACUGCGCCUACGAAGGUGCAAAAACAGAUGGCUCAAGACUCCACUGUGAGCAACACUAGAUUUCUGCUCAGUGAAAUGUUAAACAAAUACACGAGAGGUAAUCUGACACUCUGAGGAGUAGUUUAAUUAAGACCCAUUCACAUUAAGAUGCUUCAAAUUGACUGCUUAAUUAGGGGAAACUGUCCUCUGAACUUGUUAACCUUGCAGUACUGUCACUUUUACUUCUUAUCAUCAUUAAAUACAACCCUCUUUAGCACAAGUUGACAACAAGCAAAAUGCAAUUAGCUAUUUGAUGAGCAAAUAACUCUUACAAUAUUACUGUGGAAAUUGAAUGCAUCCCAGUGAAGCUAGAUAAGGGCGGCCCUGCUAAUAAGCAAACAAACAGUUUUUCUCUGCUGACAUUGUAAUGAAGGAAGUCAAAUAUUAUCUGAUCAAAUUUAAAAGACUGUUAGCAGAAAUAAGCAGGCGAAGGGCACGCAUUUGUAAUCUCCUUCUAAUUAAGUGCAUGAAUCCCAAAAGAUUUACUUUGAUUGUAAAGUCUAAAAAUAGAGAAAAAAGCGAGCGACGGAUCAGAGAAAAGAAAUUAAACCUUGUCAAAUAUAACCUAGUUAUUUGCAGAUUUUAAUUGUUCUUGAAUGUAGCCAAGAUAAUAUCUUAACUUAACAACUUAAAUGAAACACUUAAAAUCAUCAGACACACAGAUGACCUGUAAACCGAUAAAUUAAUCAAUCAGUAAAUCAAUAAUUUACCCAGUUCAUCAGUGACUUCUUUAAUAAAUCAUUCUUUAUAUUUUUUAAAUUGUGAUUUUGAGGAGUUGAACUCUCCAGUUGUCCCAACAGACCACUGACUAAUCUCUGAACAUGAAACUUGUACCAACUUCAAGAUAACACUCUGAUGACAUUGAUGAAUGUCAUUCUAUUUCCCCCACAGGAGUGACAGGAGGAGAUACCAGGCCAUUUCUGAACACUACCAGCUUGUCCGGUCAACAUUAUCUUAAUGGAAAUGGAGUAAUCUGAUUCUGAAUGAGACAUCACUUUGGCAGAUAGAUUAAACCGUAGGGGCCACAAGAGUCAGCACAGAACUUUAUCAACAAACAAAAUCACACUGAUAAAGAAAAAGGAAACAGAUUAAAUGUUCUACGAUAAAAGACACUCUAAGUUAUAUCUUUAAGCCGUUUCUUCAAAACCCUUUUUUUUUUUUUUUUUUUUACCUUGUCAGUAAAUAAAUAACA